rnacentral:rRNA from 1 species
CAAUAGCGUAUAUUUAAGUUGUUGCAGUUAAAAAGCUCGUAGUUGGAUUUCGGAUGGGACUUGCCGGUCCGUCGUUUCGAUGUGCACUGGCCAGUCCUAUCUUGUUGUCGGGGACUAGCUCCUGGGCUUCACUGUCCGGGACUAGGAGCUGACGAGGUUACUUUGAGUAAAUUAGAGUGUUCAAAGCAAGCCUACGCUCUGAAUACAUUAGCAUGGAAUAACACGAUAGGACUCUGGCUUAUCUUGUUGGUCUGUGAGACCAGAGUAAUGAUUAAGAGGGACAGUCGGGGGCAUUCGUAUUUCAUUGUCAGAGGUGAAAUUCUUGGAUUUAUGAAAGACGAACUUCUGCGAAAGCAUUUGUCAAGGAUGUUUUCAUUAC